GCCAGAAUAGCUCAGUUGGUAGAGCAACGGUUUUGUAAACCGUAGGUCCUCGGUUCGAGCCCGAGUUCUGGCUCCA
rnacentral:tRNA from 1 species